rnacentral:rRNA from 1 species
UACGGGGGGAGCAAGCGUUGUCCGGAAUUAUUGGGCGUAAAGAGCUCGUAGGCGGUGUGUCGCGUCGGUCGUGAAAACUUUCAGCUUAACUGGGAGCUUGCGGUCGAUACGGGCAUCACUUGAGUUCGGCAGGGGAGACUGGAAUUCCUGGUGUAGCGGUGAAAUGCGCAGAUAUCAGGAGGAACACCGGUGGCGAAGGCGGGUCUCUGGGCCGAUACUGACGCUGAGGAGCGAAAGCGUGGGGAGCGAACAGG